GACGAACGCUGGCGGCGUGCUUAACACAUGCAAGUCGAACGGAAGGGCGCUGCUUUUGUGGGGUGCUCGAGUGGCGAACGGGUGAGUAACACGUGAGUAACCUGCCCUUGACUUUGGGAUAACUUCAGGAAACUGGGGCUAAUACCGGAUAGGAGCUCCUGCUGCAUGGUGGUGGUUGGAAAGUUUCGGCGGUUGGGGAUGGACUCGCGGCUUAUCAGCUUGUUGGGGGGGUAGUGGCUUACCAAGGCUUUGACGGAUAGCCGGCCUGAGAGGGUGACCGGCCACAUUGGGACUGAGAUACGGCCCAGACUGGUACGGGAGGCAGCAGUGGAGAAUCUUACACAGUGGGCCGGCGUCUGAUACGGAAACGCCGCGUUCGGAAUGACGGCCUUCGGGUUAUAAACCGCUUUCGCCUGUGACGAAGCGUGAUUGACGGUACUGGGUAAAGAAGCACCGGCUAACUACGUG
rnacentral:rRNA from 1 species